GUAUUCAAGUCAGCAGGGCCUGAUUAAUUUUUUCUUAGAUUACUCAAGGAACUAGCUGAAGCAAUUUUGGAACUGUUAGUUGUUAUCUUCAAGAAUUCAUGGAAGACAAAUGAGGUCCCAGAGGACUGGAAAAGGUCAAACAUUAUACCUGUCUUUAAACGGGGAACAAAGAAGACCCAGGGAGUUAUAAACCAGUCAGCCUAACUUUUAUAUCUGGAAAGAUACUGAAACAAAUUAUUAAAUAAUCCAUUUUUAACCACCUGGUUAGCUGAUAUAGUAAAGUUAUAAGGAAUAGCCAGCAUGGAUUUGUCAAGAAAUCAUGCCAACCAACCUAAUUUCCUCCUUUGACAGAGUUACUGGCCUAGUGGAGCGGGGAAAUCUGUAGACUUUGUAUAUCUUGAUUUUUAGUAAGGCUUUUGCACAAUCCCACAUGAAAUUCUCUAAAGCAAACUUGGGAAAUGUGGUUUAGUUGAAAUUACUGUAAGAUGAGAGCACAACUGGUUGAAAGGCCAUACUCAGAAAGUAGCUAUCAGUGGUUCACUGCCCAACUGGGAGGACGUAUCUAGUAAUGGCUCCAGAACUGACCCCUGAGGAACCUCACUAAUCAAUAUGUUCAUUAGUGACUUCGAUAUGGAAGGGAGAGUAGACAUAUAACAUUUGUGGAGGACUCCAAUUUGUGGGAGGGGUUACUAGAAUUUUUGAGGACAGAGUAUGGGGAGAUUUUGGCAAACCAGUAAAGUGCCUGAAACCACUAUGGCUUAUUGUUAAAGCAACCUAUUAAGCAGUCUCAGCUUGACCAAGGCAGGAGGGGAGGGGAGGGGAUUUGGGGUGCCACAGAAAGGACAGCUUGACCCAGCAUCCUUGCUGAUAAGAAUUGAGUUGAAGUUGCUGAUACACGCAUUUUAAAAGAGCAGGAAUGUCUAUUGGGGACUCAAGGCUGCAAACCCUGGAAAAACCCACACCUGAAGGAACAUCUUGCUUGAUCCUUGAAACUGCUUACUUAACAAGUUUUCUUUAAGGGAUAUGUCAUUCUAUUACUAAUGUGUAAAUAAGAGGAAAAAGUUUGAAAUAGUUGGAUUCAUUUGGGGACUCUUUUUGGACUCUCCCUCUGGAUACAUCUUGCCGUCCCCACCAGCAGACAGAAGAUUUGGCCAAUAGAAGCCUGCUACUUUGUCACUCGAGAGCCACACUCAGCUUUGUGAUCACUACAGCUGAAAUCAUUGAUAGACUGGUCUAGGAGUCUGAGCCUUAGACCUAUGUGGGGACAGUGUUUCAGUAAAAGACAGCAUAGAGGAUGCAGUGGCAGUGAGGUUCCUCCAUACCCAGUGAAGUUACUUGAGCUGAAAUCACUGAAAAGUGGGCUGGGUGGUGGAACCUCAGAACACAGCAUGGUGGACAAAGGCAGCGUAAUGAGAGACACCACAGCACCAGCACCAAAGGUGUCACUACUUGCUGGGCUAGGUGAUUGUGGGCUAUAGGACCAAGGACACAAGAGUACAGAAGCAGUUGGAACAGCAGAGGCAGCAGCAACUAUGGCAAGCAGCAGUAGCUGCCAGAGCAGAAAGCAGCAAGAAGUGGCAGCAGCAACAAAGAGGCAGUGGCAGAGGCACCACUCACAUUCUUCUCAGAAGCUGGAGGUGAAUCCCCUGAAUUCACCCCUGAUCUUCAGGACUUUGCUGACCUUGGACAUCAGACUGUAAACAGUGUGCAGCAAGAGGAAAGAAAAAGUGGCAUGUUAAAGGGACAUUUGUCCACUGGACAUUCAAAAUUUCAAGCCUGGACACUGGAGCCAGUAACCCUCGAACCCAACCAAGACGUGCUCCCAGACCCUGAAGACAGAGAAGGGACCUCUGGUCAACAGCGUCUUUCUAGAGAACCUGGGGGCCCUGGACAGCGUUGCAUCAGACGAGAAAGAUGAACCGGACCUGUCUUGUUUUUGCUCAACACCAGUCCUGAGGGCUGUGCCAUGACUGUGAGACUUGAACUUCUGAGGCUAUAAACUGCAAGCUCCAGGACCCCUGUGCUGAACUGUGUUUUAAAAGUUUUUUGAACACUAUUGCCACAGAUUAUGCAAUGCAAUAACUGUGCUUAACUCAAGAACAUUUAGCACAAGGGGUGACCUUGGUAAAUGUUGUGCAAUUCGGUCGAGACCCUGACAGUAUUUUUUUAAAAAUGACCAAACUGGAGGAUGUCUGCUCAAAGCAUUAUACUGAUCGUCUGGGCUGCACAAAAAGUUACAGAGCCCUGCUUAGGAAAAAACAUUUGUAAGAAAUCUAAAAAGAUUAAGUUAGAGAACGGUGAGGGAACAAACGUGAUAUAAAACUUGGUGCCUAUAACUAGCUGUAUUUCUGUUAGAAGGUCUGUGUGGCGCUUAAAUAAGAUAAAUAUUUUUAUGGAGCAUCCUGGUUUGUUGUCAAGGAGAUGUAUGUCUUUUAAAUAAAUACAAAAAUAGUUUGUGAGAACCUAGCUCUUGUGUCUUUGUAUAAAAGACUCAUUUACAGCAAAAGCUGAAAGGUGUGUAGUAGACUCUUGUGGGGGGAAAAAAACAAAAAAUGCAUUUAAAAUAAAAGCAAAUAAAAAAGCUUCUAUAUUAUAUAUAAAACGGGGAUGUUUGAGUACAAUAGAGCUGUCUCCACCUGUUGAGCUGAUGGUUUAAACAUACCCCCACUGAAUAGCAAGGAUGAUUCCUUUGCCUUAAGGAGUCUGUAGUCCACCUUUGUUUCCAUCAGUUUGAUGGAUGUACACCCACAGUAACGAGGUUGGGUGGAGAUGUGAAGCUCUGAUUAAUAUUAAAUGAAAUAAAACCUCAGGAGUUUGUAGAUGCUAUUGGAUGGUUUAAAUAUUACCCCAGGAGGUGGUUGAACACUAUGUGUCACACAUUUUAGCGACUCAUAGUCAUUAAAAGUUUAAAAUAAUAUAGUUACAAAAAGAAUCAAGGCUCUAACCCCAAACUGAAAUGUUUCAAGGGUUCACAACCUCUAACACACUGACAUGCAUCUGAAGAAGUGGGUAUUCACCCACGAAAGCUCAUGCUCCAAAACGUCUUUUAGUCUACA